GCCAGGCACUGGACUAAGUUCUGUGAAUAGAGAGAAAGGCAAGACAGAUUCAGUGGGAGAGACAGCAUUGAAGCCAUCAUGUACAAACAAGCCAUCUAUGGGAUAAACUGGAAAUAAUCAACAGAGAGAAGGCACAAGAAAUAAGAGGCAGAAUCAGCACAGCUGAGAGCUUCUGGUGGCUUCCCAAUGAGGAUGAUGGAACUGGAAGGAAAUUUAGGGAGAAGCUGGGCUAAGCAAGAUAACCUGAUGGAAUGUGGGACUAGUUGCUUCAACUUCGUGAUGGAGUGGAAAGAGCUGUGGGUUUGA
rnacentral:lncRNA from 1 species